GUGGAAAAGCCCUAGUCCAUUUAAAACCCACAUGGAAAUCCCAUAUUUUUAAUGUGAGAUUCCAAGUCCCAUACCUUGUCCAACUAGGUAUAUUAAUGGUAACAUGAUUGACUACUGAUGGCGCUAUAUUAAUGAAUUUUGAAUUUAUUUAUUAUAGAACAACUGAAGCUUUUUUAAUUGCUUUUUCAUUGCUUGAGAAAUAAAUGUCUUCCAUAAUUCUAAUAUCUUUAAAUUUAAAUACCAUAAGAACCAUUACAAGAACAGUUAUUUUAAGAACAUUUUAAAUAUGCUAGACUGCUAGUUUUAAUGAUCUGGGGAACAUAUUUAGUCUCAACUCCAUGAUUGUACUGCAAAUUCUUGUUUCUAUCUCCCCAUAGAAAAAGGCAUCAGAAGAAAAUUAUGGUUGCAGAUUUAAUAAUCAUGACAUUUUCAGCUGCUGAGUUCCAUAAAUAACUUGAUGGAGUAGCAUCCAUAGAGGAUCUUCUUAAAUUGCAUGACUUGCAUGCAAAAUGCUGUAAUUAUGUAUUUGUGGCAUUUGAUGGUAAUUGGCCAACAGAGAUUCUGUCAUUUGAUAUAUUGCUAUGAUUCUGAUGCUAAAUAUUACUGAACCAACAUUUAAGGCAGCAUUGUGUUCAGGUAAUUCUAAGAUUUUUUUAUUGAAUCAUAGCAAUACCUACACUUUUAUCCAAAAAACUAAUUGUUUCUGUAGUGAGGAAAAAUUAUAAUUUUGGUGAGUAUAUCAAAGCCCUAGACUUGAUGUCUUAAGAUUUCAUUUUUCACUUUUCAGCCCUUAAGUAGACUUUGGAUUAGGCUACUCCUAGUUGAAUGUAAAUGUCUUUAGGUCAUUUCUUCUUUAUGAAACAAAGAACUGUGAUACUGUUAAUAUUAUAGGUUCAUAGGUUAUUGGUUAAAGUUCUCUGCUCAUUGUAUUUAGAGAAGUAUGUCUGUACUUAAUGAUUCAUAGAAACCUCUUUAUACUUUUUGGAUGGGGUUGUCAUAUGGAAUUGUUUUCAUUUCUGUUUGCCUGGUCUCCUCUUUAUAUAUACUGCAUCUUUUUCCGUUUCUUACAUUUCAUCAGUCAUCACCUUUUCUUUUAGAACAUAUAUGCUGCCCUAGACCUGCAGAUAAGAAAAAGCUGAUGAAGUCCUGGUUUUUCAUUUGUAUGCCAUUUGUGUCAGUGCUAGCAACUUCUUUAAAUUGGCUUGUAUCUUUGUUCAAGUUUAAUACUUGUAGGAAUGGAAGUGCUAGCUGUCAAUGGCUUUGCUCUUUUUUAAAAUUAUUUUGUUUAAUCUGGCAGCAAAGUUGAUCUGUUUAGUAUAUAUUACAGGAAUUCCUGCU
rnacentral:misc_RNA from 1 species